GGGCCAUGGCUCAGGGGCGGACAAUCUGCUUCCCAUGCAGAAGGCCCCAGGUUCGAUCCCAGGCAUCUCCA
rnacentral:tRNA from 1 species